ACUCUAUGUAAUUUUACACAAAUAACUAAGCCCAAUUUCAGAAAGGAAUGGCGUAAAGGAAAAAACUCAAGAUUGAAUUGUCCUCAAAGCAACAUAUCUUUCCUUGAGAAAUUUUCUUGUUGAUGGCAUUAGCUUGUUGUCUUCCGUAAGCUCAAAUGAACUGCACACUAUACAGCUCUUAGGAAGGAUCUCCACCCAUGGUCUGGAUUUUUGUCGGGGAACAUGCUGAGGAGUCCACUUUCCACAGACCAUUUGAAGGCUUGGCUUUUUAGUGUCCACUGCUGCAUUUUAAUUAUUAUUCACCUCUGUGAUAGGCUGGAUCUCUUUCUCUCUGAGCUCUAAAAGUUCAUGAGGGAGUUCAGCAUUUGAGGCUAAAACAGUCCUUGAAGUAUUCUUCAAUUUAUCCACUGGCCAAGUGUAGUUGUCAGGCCUACAAAUUGUCAGUGCCAAUGCUACUUCAGAAAACAUCAGGUAAGCUUUUAAGUUACUAUUUUAACUAUGACUCAGGAACCACUAAUUAAGAAUUUCAUGUGCUAACCUUCAGCAUUGCAAUGGGCUCUUUCCAUGGCUCAUGGCUCCAAUUUCUGUAGUGCAUAACUGCUUUUCCAUCCUCAUUCAAUGUAAAUUUAAAGCACUUUGGAACUGUGUGUUCAUGUAACUCCUCACAAUAAUCACUAA